rnacentral:rRNA from 1 species
GGGUUGUGAGGUUAAGCGACUAAGCGUACACGGUGGAUGCCCUGGCAGUCAGAGGCGAUGAAGGGCGUACUAAUCUGCGAUAAGCGCCGGUAAGGUGAUAUGAACCGUUAUAACCGGCGAUACCCGAAUGGGGAAACCCAGUGUGAUUCGUCACACUAUCAUUAACUGAAUCCAUAGGUUAAUGAGGCGAACCGGGGGAACUGAAACAUCUAAGUACCCCGAGGAAAAGAAAUCAACCGAGAUUCCCCCAGUAGCGGCGAGCGAACGGGGAGGAGCCCAGAGCCUGAAUCAGCAUGUGUGUUAGUGGAAGCGUCUGGAAAGGCGCGCGAUACAGGGUGACAGCCCCGUACACAAAAGCGCAUGUGCUGUGAGCUCGAUGAGUAGGGCGGGACACGUGGUAUCCUGUCUGAAUAUGGGGGGACCAUCCUCCAAGGCUAAAUACUCCUGACUGACCGAUAGUGAACCAGUACCGUGAGGGAAAGGCGAAAAGAACCCCGGCGAGGGGAGUGAAAAAGAACCUGAAACCGUGUACGUACAAGCAGUGGGAGCACCCUUUGGGUGUGACUGCGUACCUUUUGUAUAAUGGGUCAGCGACUUAUAUUCUGUAGCAAGGUUAACC